UACGGAGGGUGCAAGCGUUAUCCGGAUUCAUUGGGUUUAAAGGGAGCGUAGGUGGCCUUAUAAGUCAGUGGUGAAAUCUCUGGGCUUAACCCAGAAAUUGCCAUUGAUACUGUAGGGCUUGAGUAUAGAUGCCGUUGGCGGAAUAUGACAUGUAGUGGUGAAAUACAUAGAGAUGUCAUAGAACACCGAUUGCGAAGGCAGCUAACGAAACUAUAACUGACACUGAGGCUCGAAAGUGUGGGGAUCAAACAGG
rnacentral:rRNA from 1 species